AUCUUUCUUGACAAAUCAUAACAACUUUGGUUAAAAGGUUUCGAAAACUCAACCUCUUCUUCAGUCUCUCUCUUUCCAAAAGGGAAAGACUGAAGUAGAGAUUGGGUUUCCGAUACCUUUUGGCCCAUGUCGUUAUGAUUUGUCGAGGAAGGU